UACGUAGGGUGCAAGCGUUAUCCGGAAUUAUUUGGGCGUAAAGAGCUCGUAGGCGGUUUUGUCGCGUCUGCUGUGAAAACUGGAGGCUCAACCUCCAGCCUGCGAGUGGGUACGGGGCAAACUAGGAGUGCGGUAGGGGAGAUUGGAAUUCCUGGUGUAGCGGUGGAAUGCGCAGAUAUCAGGAGGAACACCGAUGGCGAAGGCAGAUCUCUGGGCCGUAACUGAC
rnacentral:rRNA from 1 species